rnacentral:piRNA from 1 species
UUCUCAACGUGAUAGUUUGAU